CCCCUAUAACCCCAGCUGGAAUCCUCCAGCUAUAGAAUCCCUAUAGAAUCCCUAUAGAAUCCCUAUAGGAUUCACUUCAUUCCCCAUAGGUUUAUAAGCUCCAUGACGACCCUAUAAGGGUUUGGGAUCCCUUUCCUUAUGGGAUUUGGGUCUUUUAGGGUCUCCCAUCCCAUAACCCCCCCUAUACCCCCAGCUGGAAUCCUCCAGCUAUAGAAUCCCUAUAGAAUCCCUAUAGAAUCCCUAUAGGAUUCUCUUCAUUCCCCAUAGGUUUACAAGCCCCAUGACAGCCCUAUAAGGUUUUGGGAUCCCUUUCCUUAUGGGAUUUGGGUCUUUUAGGGUCUCCCAUCCCCUAACCCCCCCAUUUACCCCCAGCUGGAAUCCUCCAGCUAUAGAAUCCCUAUGUUUCCCUAUAGAAUCCCUAUAGUGAAUCCUAUAGGAUUCACUUCAUUCCCCAUAGGUUUAUAAGCUCCAUGACAGCCCUAUAAGGGUUUGGGAUCCCUUUCCUUAUGGGAUUUGGGUCUUUUAGGGUCUCCCAUCCCCUAACCCCCCUAUAACCCCAGCUGGAAUCCUCCCGCUAUAGAAUCCCUAUAGAAUCCCUAUAGGAUUCUCUUCAUUCCCCAUAGGUUUAUAAGCUCCAUGACAGCCCUAUA